AACGCACUUUCGGGUGCAAGUAAAGUGGCAAAAGGGGUAGUAAUGCAUAGAUUACGUACCCAUUGGUUUGGGAUAACUCUUUGAAAAGAGAGGUAAUACCGGAUACGUUCCAUAAGUAGUUAUGGAGGAAAGGGUCUGUUGGUCAGACUCGCCGAUGGAUCGGUCUAUGUCGUAUUAGCUAGUUGGCGGGGUAGUGGCCCACCAAGGCAUAGAUGCGUCGGGGGCCUGAGGGGGUGAUCCCCACCACCGGAACUGAGAUACUGUCCGGACACCUACGGGUGGCUGCAGUCGAGAAUCUUCCGCAAUGGACGCAAGUCUGACGGAGCGACGCCGCGUGAAGGAAGAAGGCCCUCGGGUUGUAAACUUCUGUCAAGUGUUAGGGGUGGGCGCGUUAGGCGUGAUGACAAAGGCACUAGAGGAAGCCACGGCUAAAUAUGUGCCAGCAGCCGCGGUAAUACAUAUGUGGCGAGCGUUGUUCGGAAUUACUGGGCAUAAAGGGUUCGUAGGCGGUUGUUCAAGUCAGAUGUGAAAUCCCUCAGCUUGCCUGAGGAAUGGCAUUUGAUACUGAACAACUGGAGUACUCGAGUGGGAAGUGGAAUUCCAGGUGUAGCGGUGAGGUGCGUGGAUAUCUGGGAGAAGGCCAAUGGCGAAGGCAGCUUCCUGGCGAGAUACUGACGCUGAGGAACGAAAGUCAGGGUAUCGAACGGGAUUAGAUACCCCGGUAGUCCUGACCGUAAACGGUGAGUACUUUGUGACAGUGCCUUGAGCAUUGUUGCAGCAGCAAAUGUGUUAAGUAGUCCGCCUGGGUAGUACGAUCGCAAGGUUGAAACUCAAAGGAAUUGACGGGGGCUCACACAAGCGGUGGAGCAUGUUGCUUAAUUCGAGGCAACGCGAAGAACCUUACCUGGGCUUGAACUGCAGGGAUUAGCUUUCUGAAAGGGAAGUGACGCCGUCUGGUGGAACCUGUAGAGGUGUUGCGUGGCUGUCGUCAGCUCGUGCUGUGAGGUGUUAGGUUAAGUCCUUUAACGAGCGGAACCCUUGUCCUUAUUUACCGGCGCUUAGGGCGGGGACUAUAAGGAGACUGCCGGUGUUAAACCGGAGGAAGGUGGGGACGACGUCAAGUCAUCAUGGCCCUUACGUCCAGGGCUGCAAACGUGCUACAAUGGCUAUUACAGCGUGAAGCGAAAUCGCGAGAUGGAGCAGAUCAUCAAAAACAGCCUCAGUUCGGAUUGUAGGCUGCAACUCGCCUACAUGAAGUUGGAAUCGCUAGUAAUCGGGGGUCAGCUACACUCCGGUGAAUAUGUUCCUGAGCCUUGUACACACCGCCCGUCAAGCCACGAAAGUCGGGGGUACCCUAAGCCACUGAGCUAACCCUUCGGGGAGGCAGGUGUCCACGGUAAACCUGAUGAUUGGGACUAAGUCGGAACAAGGUA
rnacentral:rRNA from 1 species